GAGCGGCGAACGGGUGAGUAACACGUGAGUAACCUGCCCUCAACUUCGGGAUAAGCCUGGGAAACCGGGUCUAAUACCGGAUAUGACUCCUGGUGGCAUCGCCGGGGGUGGAAAGAUUUUUUGGUUGGGGAUGGGCUCGCGGCCUAUCAGCUUGUUGGUGGGGUAGUGGCCUACCAAGGCGACGACGGGUAGCCGGCCUGAGAGGGCGACCGGCCACACUGGGACUGAGACACGGCCCAGACUCCUACGGGAGGCAGCAGUGGGGAAUAUUGCGCAAUGGGCGGAAGCCUGACGCAGCGACGCCGCGUGGGGGAUGACGGCCUUCGGGUUGUAAACCUCUUUCAGCAGGGACGAAGUUGACGUGUACCUGUAGAAGAAGCGCCGGCUAACUACGUGCCAGCAGCCGCGGUAAUACGUAGGGCGCGAGCGUUGUCCGGAAUUAUUGGGCGUAAAGAGCUCGUAGGUGGCUGGUCGCGUCUGCCGUGAAAGCCCAUGGCUUAACUGUGGGUCUGCGGUGGAUACGGGCCGGCUAGAGGUAGGUAGGGGCAAGCGGAAUUCCU
rnacentral:rRNA from 2 species